UCAGAUCGGUCUCCACCAUCUGCACCAUCGUCUCCAUCAUCAUCUACACCAUCGUCUCCUAAGUUAGCCCCAAUCCAAGAUUGAUCCAUAUGAGGUUAGGGCCCGUGCUAAACAGGUUGUGCAAGAUCAGCGCCGUCUGAAGGUCACUAUGUUGUAAUAUGUGGCUAUGAUGCUAUGACAGAUGAGUUUGAGAUUAGAGAUCCAGCGAGCUCUGGGAAACAUGAGAAGGUCACAUCAAAGCGCCUAGAAGAAGCUCGCAAAUCCUUUGGAAUUGAUGAAGAUCUUCUCUUGGUAAA